rnacentral:tRNA from 1 species
GCCUCGGUAGCGCAGUAGGCAGCGCGUAGGUCUCAUAAUCUUAAGGUCGUGAGUUCGAUCCUCACCCGGGGCA